UGUUGCAGUUGAAGAUGCAGAAUGGCUCUGCCCCGUGUGCCGCAGCAAGCCACAGCCUGCCGGAGAGAGCACAUCAACAUAGUAGAAAACCAUGGACAUCCGGAGAGAACUAUGCGGCAUGACAAACUCUACGAGCACUGGUGGUUCCUCCGUGCCGUCUCACGGCAGCGGCGCGACGGUGUCGAGAACGGUGGCUUGGUCAGCGUGGAAUCCGGCGAAGCGCUGCGCGCUGAGGGUGGGUGAUAGAUGACCGGUCACUGAACAAUGAAGCGAGUCAGAUCAUUGGGCGCAGUGAUUACCAGCCACGCAUCGCGGCUGGUCCGCGGAAGUUAUUGCUUUGAUGUCGGACUAAGUCACACAAUGUUUUGUCACAUUCUAGAGUGAUGCUGACAAUGGAAUGCAUCGCUAAUUUGCUUCCGAUGCUGCCUUAACGGUGAUAUGAGAAGCGUGAUAAACCGUUUGUUUGUUUGUUUGUUUGUUUGUUUGUUUGUUUGUUUGUUUGUUUCGUUGGGUUAGGCCCUUGGUCCGAUGAGACCAUUGCAGAGCCGGGAGGAUGAUAUGACUUGGGGGGAGGGGGCAUGGGGCGAGCACCCUAGUGAGUCGCCGGGGCUGAGCCCAUUUAAAUGGGCAGGCCACCCAGCACCCAGGCUACGGGCGUGCUCGGCUUAUGGGCAAUCCCGCAUGGAAUAAAGUUGCCCGUCCAGCCCGGACCAGGGGGUUGAGGCGUGGAGAAGAAGGG
rnacentral:lncRNA from 1 species